UUGUGAGGUUAAGCGACUAAGCGUACACGGUGGAUGCCCUGGCAGUCAGAGGCGAUGAAGGGCGUGCUAAUCUGCGAUAAGCGCCGGUAAGGUGAUAUGAACCGUUAUAACCGGCGAUACCCGAAUGGGGAAACCCAGUGUGAUUCGUCACACUAUCAUUAACUGAAUCCAUAGGUUAAUGAGGCGAACCGGGGGAACUGAAACAUCUAAGUACCCCGAGGAAAAGAAAUCAACCGAGAUUCCCCCAGUAGCGGCGAGCGAACGGGGAGGAGCCCAGAGCCUGAAUCAGCAUGUGUGUUAGUGGAAGCGUCUGGAAAGGCGCGCGAUACAGGGUGACAGCCCCGUACACAAAAGCGCAUGUGCUGUGAGCUCGAUGAGUAGGGCGGGACACGUGGUAUCCUGUCUGAAUAUGGGGGGACCAUCCUCCAAGGCUAAAUACUCCUGACUGACCGAUAGUGAACCAGUACCGUGAGGGAAAGGCGAAAAGAACCCCGGCGAGGGGAGUGAAAAAGAACCUGAAACCGUGUACGUACAAGCAGUGGGAGCACCCUUUUGGGUGUGACUGCGUACCUUUUGUAUAAUGGGUCAGCGACUUAUAUUCUGUAGCAAGGUUAACCG
rnacentral:rRNA from 1 species